AUUGAACGCUGGCGGCAGGCCUAACACAUGCAAGUCGAGCGGAUGAAGGGAGCUUGCUCCUGGAUUCAGCGGCGGACGGGUGAGUAAUGCCUAGGAAUCUGCCUGGUAGUGGGGGAUAACGUCCGGACACGGGCGCUAAUACCGCAUACGUCCUGAGGGAGAAAGUGGGGGAUCUUCGGACCUCACGCUAUCAGAUGAGCCUAGGCCGGAUUAGCUAGUUGGUGGGGUAAAGGCCUACCAAGGCGACGAUCCGUAACUGGUCUGAGAGGAUGAUCAGUCACACUGGAACUGAGACACGGUCCAGACUCCUACGGGAGGCAGCAGUGGGGAAUAUUGGGCAAUGGGCGAAAGCCUGAUCCAGCCAUGCCGCGUGUGUGAAGAAGGUCUUCGGAUUGUAAAGCACUUUAAGUUGGGAGGAAGGGCAGUAAGUGAAUACCUUGCUGUUUUGACGUUACCAACAGAAUAAGCACCGGCUAACUUCGUG
rnacentral:rRNA from 1 species